GACGAGAAUCCAGUCGAGGGUAGCCUGAGCUCGGAGACACAUCCUACCUGGUCUGUACAGGUACCUAAACUGCCAUGUUGGCAUCCUAGUAAGUGAGCACUGCGUGGUCAAACACUUUACUGCUGCCAAAUGACACCCUGCCAGGACAAGCAGUCAUCAACAUUGUUUCAACAAUCAAUUAAAGACACGAUUAAUUAACAAAUACUAUCCAUGGGAGAUUCCACCUAGCCCUGUUGACAUCACUUCCGGGUCUAAGCCUAUGAAGGAAGACCUUGUUGGCUCCGGCCCCUUUGAUGUCAUGUCCUGGCUUAAGCCUAUGCCUGAAGACCCUUAUGAGCCCCAACCCAUCUAACUUCACUUCCUGUGUUCCCCUAUAAAAGCUUCCACCUUUUCCCUAUUCCCCUCAGUUCUGUUUUGGACUCGGUUUUGUGCACAUCAAUGCUGUUAUUCAUUUUGCAACAUUGCAGCCAGGAUACCAAUAUACGGAUG